rnacentral:sRNA from 1 species
AAUAAAUACACCACAGCAAUAACGAAACGCGCUCCGCGCUGAACGAAUAAAUAUAUUUUUGGUGUGAAUACGAUGACCCAUACUUCUGUUAAAUACUGGUCGUGGAUGAGCGUCUUCUCUGUAUCGCUUCUCUUCUGGUGCCAGCUCGUCUGGAUGUGGAUCGCCUAAUCCUCUGAAAAACCUCGCUCCGGCGAGGUUUUUUGUUU